rnacentral:rRNA from 1 species
UGCAGUCGAACGGAAACAUGUCUAGCUUGCUAGAUGAUGUCGAGUGGCGGACGGGUGAGUAAUGCUUGGGAACUUGCCUUUGCGAGGGGGAUAACAGUUGGAAACGACUGCUAAUACCGCAUAAUGUCUUCGGACCAAACGGGGCUUCGGCUCCGGCGCAAAGAGAGGCCCAAGUGAGAUUAGCUAGUUGGUGAGGUAAAGGCUCACCAAGGCAACGAUCUCUAGCUGUUCUGAGAGGAAGAUCAGCCACACUGGGACUGAGACACGGCCCAGACUCCUACGGGAGGCAGCAGUGGGGAAUAUUGCACAAUGGGGGAAACCCUGAUGCAGCCAUGCCGCGUGUGUGAAGAAGGCCUUCGGGUUGUAAAGCACUUUCAGUUGUGAGGAAAAGUUAGUAGUUAAUACCUGCUAGCCGUGACGUUAACAACAGAAGAAGCACCGGCUAACUCCGUGCCAGCAGCCGCGGUAAUACGGAGGGUGCGAGCGUUAAUCGGAAUUACUGGGCGUAAAGCGCACGCAGGCGGUUUGUUAAGCUAGAUGUGAAAGCCCCGGGCUCAACCUGGGACGGUCAUUUAGAACUGGCAGACUAGAGUCUUGGAGAGGGGAGUGGAAUUCCAGGUGUAGCGGUGAAAUGCGUAGAUAUCUGGAGGAACAUCAGUGGCGAAGGCGACUCCCUGGCCAAAGACUGACGCUCAUGUGCGAAAGUGUGGGUAGCGAACAGGAUUAGAUACCCUGGUAGUCCACACCGUAAACGCUGUCUACUAGCUGUUUGUGACUUUAAGUCGUGAGUAGCGAAGCUAACGCGAUAAGUAGACCGCCUGGGGAGUACGGCCGCAAGGUUAAAACUCAAAUGAAUUGACGGGGGCCCGCACAAGCGGUGGAGCAUGUGGUUUAAUUCGAUGCAACGCGAAGAACCUUACCUACACUUGACAUGUUGAGAAGUACCAGAGAUGGUUUCGUGCCUUCGG